UUCCGGUAGGUGAACCUGCGGAAGGAUCAUUCGA
rnacentral:rRNA from 1 species